AGAGUUUGAUCAUGGCUCAGAUUGAACGCUGGCGGCAUGCCUUACACAUGCAAGUCGAACGGUAACGCGGGGCAACCUGGCGACGAGUGGCGAACGGGUGAGUAAUACAUCGGAACGUGCCCAGUAGUGGGGGAUAGCCCGGCGAAAGCCGGAUUAAUACCGCAUACGACCUACGGGUGAAAGCAGGGGAUCGCAAGACCUUGCGCUGCUGGAGCGGCCGAUGUCAGAUUAGGUAGUUGGUGGGGUAAAAGCCUACCAAGCCGACGAUCUGUAGCGGGUCUGAGAGGACGACCAGCCACACUGGGACUGAGACACGGCCCAGACUCCGACGGGAGGCAGCAGUGGGGAAUUUUGGACAAUGGGCGCAAGCCUGAUCCAGCCAUGCCGCGUGCGGGAAGAAGGCCUUCGGGUUGUAAACCGCUUUUGUCAGGGAAGAAAAGCUCCGGGCCAAUACCCCGGGGUCAUGACGGUACCUGAAGAAUAAGCACCGGCUAACUACGUGCCAGCCGCCGCGGUAAUUC
rnacentral:rRNA from 1 species